AGUUUUUUGUUGUUUUAUAAAAAAUAGUUUCUGCCCGGUGAUUUUUAACGGCUGCGGUAAUUUGACCGUGCAAAGGUAGCAUAAUCAUUUGUCUCAUAAUUGGAGACUGGUAUGAAUGGGAGAACCAAAAUUAGUUCUUUUUUAAUCUUUAGUGUGUAAUUUUCUAUCAGAGUGAAGAAGCUUUGGUAAAAAGGGGGACAAGAAGACCCUAUUGAGCUUUACUUUAGGUUUUUAGUAGUAUUAACUAAAAUUUAAAAGUUGAACUGGGGCGGUUAAGGAAGAAGAAAUCUUCCUUUAUUUUUGUUUGUUAAAUUUUUUGAUCCAAGGUUUUUGAUAAAAAGACUAAGUUACCAUAGGGA
rnacentral:rRNA from 1 species